UCUAAAACUCAGAGUCUGUUCGAGCCGCUCCGGGGUAUCAGCAUCCGGCACGGUUUUAGAAGUGGAUGGCUCGGAUCGGGCCAACCGGCCGAAAUGUAAAGAGCGCCGCGGGGUUUCCGGAAGGGCCCAUAGCGCUUUCUGGAAGUGUAUUUGUUAUUGGAGGUCCCGUCACCCCUGACAGCUUUCACUCUAUCGGUUUUGUGGAAGGCCUAGGGUUUUAGACAACAAAUAGUAAAAAAAAAAAAAAAAAAAAAAAAAAAAAAAGACCAUAGAAAAUGUUGUUUCGUUGAGACAGGUCUCGCCUUUGCAAACCAGGCUAGCCUUGAAUUCUCAGCGAUCUUCCUCCAGUUGAUUGCCAGAAGAUAGGCGUGUCCCACCAGGCCCGGGCUAUUCUGAAACUGUAUGGGAACGUCCACAGGGAAUAUUGAGGGUUUUAAUUAAGAGAGUGCUGCGAGCCUCAAGAGACUUUUGACUCUUACACUAUGCUGAAACUGAAAGACUUGAGACUUUUGCAGUUGGACUAUGAUCAGAUGUGCUCUCUCAGCAACUGCUGCAGAGCCAUGCCUGCCUGCUGCCCUGCUCCCCGCCUGAUGGUCAUGGACUCCAACCCUCUGGAACUAUCUGGUGCCUUCUGACCUCCAAGAGCAUGAGGCAGGCACUUGGUGCACAAACACGCAGAAUGUGGUACAAUGACAGCCAUGACAAUGAAGCCACCUUAAGUGAUAUGCUAGAGAUGGAGGAAGACAGAAUGUGGGUCCCUGUGAUGCUGUGGAGCUGUAGAAGCCACAGGCUGCUUCAUUGGCUUGCGGACGUUAAUAAUAAACUCAGAGUCACCAGUCAGUGAAAAGAACCAGAGUGUUUCACCGUGGUGUCCUGUAACCACGAGAAGCCCAGAUUUGAAUUGAUUGCUCUCCUCCUCCUGUCUUGUGUUAUCCUCUGUCAUGAGUCCAACUCUGCUUGCUGCUGCUGUCCCGAGUCUGCGUGCCCGUGCUGGUUUCUGAGAAAGUGCUUUGCUCUCUCUCUCUCAUUGACCAGCACAGAAAGCGUCACAAGGGAAAGGAAUGAAGGCCCUUCACAGGAGUCACUGACUGAGAUAACUUUUAUCAGGCAACAUCUAUGUGCUGUUUCAGCAUUGUGGUGGACACUGGUUUUUUAAAGUUCUCUCUGCCUGUUGCUGUUUUCAGCAUUUAUUACCAUCACGUGCGUGCACUCAUGUGCACUCGCAUGCACACACACACACACACACACACACACACACACACACACACUAUCCACGAAUGGGACAUUACCCGUGGAUCAGAGCAUGGAAGAGUGUAUAACAGAAGAUUCCGGUUAUGAGAAAUGAUUAUAUGGGAGAUCCAAGGCAAGAGAGUUUGCCAGGUUAAACUGGCUGAGCACGAAGCGGAACAUGCCUCAAGGCAAAUUACUAAUCUGGCUGUGAAAUCGAGCAAAAGUUGCAGUCUUUUAGAAUGCAAGAGAUAUUUUUAUAAUGCCGUAUUGCCACAGACUACCUAGCUGUGGAUUUCUCGUUAUAAAAUAAACCUUUAGGUAUUUG